rnacentral:rRNA from 1 species
UACGAAGGGGGCUAGCGUUGUUCGGAUUUACUGGGCGUAAAGCGCACGUAGGCGGAUUGUUAAGUCAGGGGUGAAAUCCUGGAGCUCAACUCCAGAACUGCCUUUGAUACUGGCAAUCUAGAGUCCGGAAGAGGUGAGUGGAACUCCUAGUGUAGAGGUGGAAUUCGUAGAUAUUAGGAAGAACACCAGUGGCGAAGGCGGCUCACUGGUCCGGUACUGACGCUGAGGUGCGAAAGCGUGGGGAGCGAACAGG